GACGAACGCUGGCGGCAUGCCUAAUACAUGCAAGUCGAGCGAACAGAUGAAGUGCUUGCACUUCUGACGUUAGCGGCGAACGGGUGAGUAACACGUAAGGAAUCUACCUAUAAGCGGGGGAUAACAUUCGGAAACGGGUGCUAAUACCGCAUAAUAUCUUCUUCCGAAUGGAAGAAGAUUGAAAGACGGCUCUGCUGUCACUUAUAGAUGACCUUGCGGUGCAUUAGUUAGUUGGUGGGGUAAUGGCCUACCAAAACAAUGAUGCAUAGCCGACCUGAGAGGGUGAUCGGCCACAUUGGGACUGAGACACGGCCCAAACUCCUACGGGAGGCAGCAGUAGGGAAUCUUCCGCAAUGGGCGAAAGCCUGACGGAGCAAUGCCGCGUGAGUGAAGAAGGCCUUCGGGUCGUAAAACUCUGUUAUAAGAGAAGAACAAAUUGUAGAGUAACUGCUACAGUCUUGACGGUAUCUUAUCAGAAAGCCACGGCUAACUACGUGCCAGCAGCCGCGGUAA
rnacentral:rRNA from 1 species